rnacentral:pre_miRNA from 1 species
AUAAUACUCCCUCCGUCCGAAAAUACUUGUCAUCAAAAUGGACAAAAAGGGAUGUAUCUAAAACUAAAAUACGUCUAGAUACAUUCCCUUUUAUUCAUUUUGAUGACAAGUAUUUUCGGACGGAGGGAGUAGAUA